rnacentral:rRNA from 1 species
AUUGAACGCUGGCGGCAUGCUUUACACAUGCAAGUCGAACGGCAGCGCGGGCUUCGGCCUGGCGGCGAGUGGCGAACGGGUGAGUAAUGCAUCGGAACGUGCCCAGUAGUGGGGGAUAGCCCGGCGAAAGCCGGAUUAAUACCGCAUACGACCUGAGGGUGAAAGCGGGGGACCGAAAGGCCUCGCGCUAUUGGAGCGGCCGAUGUCGGAUUAGCUAGUUGGUGGGGUAAAGGCUUACCAAGGCGACGAUCCGUAGCUGGUCUGAGAGGACGACCAGCCACACUGGGACUGAGACACGGCCCAGACUCCUACGGGAGGCAGCAGUGGGGAAUUUUGGACAAUGGGGGCAACCCUGAUCCAGCCAUGCCGCGUGCAGGAAGAAGGCCUUCGGGUUGUAAACCGCUUUUGUUCGGGAAGAAAUCCUCUGGGCUAAUACCCCGGGGGGAUGACGGUACCGGAAGAAUAAGCACCGGCUAACUACGUG